rnacentral:lncRNA from 1 species
UUUUCCUUAAAUUUAAAAAAAAAAAAAAAAGAGUUGAUUUUGCUCAAAACGAAAGCAUAACGGUGAUCGAAAAGCCUCAAAUAACGAAAUUUACUUGAUUCAAGGUGGUGCGUUUGGUUGUUGCUGUGCGCGUUACAGAAAGAGGUGAAGCCAUAGUCCUUGGAAGUUCAUCCAUGUCCUCACCGACAUGCCAGGGACCACAAGUACUAUAAUUUUACUAAUAAUGUUCUGAACUAAGGUGUUUGUCAUAGUCCAAUUUUAGGUUUGAUGUUUGUUUGUAAGCCAACUGUAAUUUCCUCUUCUCUUAAAUGUAUUUGAGUUUGUUGAGAUUUUAAUGUAGAGUAUUUAAUUCGGUUUAGCUAGCAAAAGAAAGAAAUCAAUUCUUUUGGUUAAGGAUAUACUGAAAUUGAGGUGGUGACGGUUGUGGAUUUUUGGUCAAUUGAAAUGGAGAAGAAAGAGAGUUAAUCCUCCAUGAAUUCUUAUUGUGGGCGUAUUUUUUGGUGCUGAAAUCGUGAAAGAGAAGAAGGAUCGGGUGUGUGCGCGUGUCC